AGUUUCAAAGAGGAAAGAAAGGAAAGGAUGUGGGAGAGGAGACUGAGGCUGGAGCUAGCAGAUUCAUCACAGGACACCCAUAACCACUUGAGAGGCAAGAUGUACUCCUGCAUUCGUGAGCGUCUAUAGUGUCCGGCGUCUCCUCAGUCCUCGGGAAUCUUCUCGGAUCCUCAGGAAUCUUCGGGUCCUAUGUGUUCUAGGAGAGAUGCUGAUGAAUCAUCUGUGGGAACGAGAGCCUAUGAGUCACUGGGCACAGGAGGUACCCGGACACAACAUGGAAGUGAAAGAAAUGCAUUUAAGUCUUAUGCUCAUUCCUGUUCCAAUACCAAAACAACUGGCUGCUUUUUAAUGCUCAGUCACAUGGUAUCACGGUGAGAACAUCUGGAGGCAGCAUGGCAUCUAUGUUCUUCUUCAUCCUGACACAGCUGUUUGUGAAACCUGGAGAAAGUUGGCCUCUUUACAGUUCUCACUUUCUUCAUGUCUACACAAAGGAGCUUGGUGUAGAAGAGUUGGGUUCCAGGUCUACAGUACACAGCACCAUUUCGUUCUGAUUAAUGUUUGAAUGAGUUGAUUCUUGAGUCCCUGAAUUGCACAUAAGUUGGCCAAAGAAAAUAUACAAGAAAAUUCAGGGUCCCAAAGAAACAGGAACUUGGACUUUUUCAGCCCCAUAAAAAGGUA